GGGGCGUAGCUAGGCAAUUUUGAUGUGCACGCAAUGCCGGAGAAGGUAGUCAUACGACCGGGGGUCUGGGGGCCGCUAAAGCUCUGGGGUAAACGGUGCAAAAUCCUGCAUUCUCGCAAUUUCCGAGGACUUAAAAUGACCUCACAGAAAUCUUACUUUCAGGAGAAACAAGUCAACUUUGGAAAUAAAUAAUCAGAGAAAAACAAAGAAACCCGUACUGUUGGGCUUAACAAUUUGUUUUAUCUUUUCUUAUGUGUAGUGGGUUAAAAUGGCUUGAUUAGGUAUAUUUUAUUUGUUACCUAAUCAUGCUGAACCCACUUUACAUUAGAAACAAACUAAUUUCUAAGCCAACACUGUGCAACUUAAAUGGCAUUUUUCUUAUUGAGAUAAUACAUAGAUAAAAAUUCGAAUCAGAC
rnacentral:lncRNA from 1 species